AACGAUAUUUUCGGAAUAUUUUCUGUCCAUGGAAAAUUUUGUCGAGUGGAAACGGGUCUUUAGACGCUAACAAGGAACAGCUGCAGAAAAUGCAACUAUAGUAUAGGUCUCUGGCAGGACAUGACGUUUAAUAUAUAUAUUAUAUAGGGUACUGCCAUGUUAGGUAAGUUAUGGGUAAAUAUCAAGAUUCUGUUGGCAUCUCAGUCGAUUGAAUAAUAUAGUUAAGGGUCUUGUAUAUGGAAAUUAUCGAGUGGAAAUAUAUGUACUAUU